UCAAAUACAACAGGAGAGGAAGUAUCUUUUCUCUCUCUCUCUCUCUCUCGAUGGCGAGUUUAGGAGGCGGGAAACCCCCGAAGAAGAUCGCCGACGCCUUCAAAGGUCGGGGAUCUGAAAGCAGCGUUGAAAUCGCCCUGUACGUUGCGAACCCUAGUUGAAAUGGUUUUUCUUCUUGACAGAUACAGUGUAUUUUCACAUCUGUUAUAUAGGAAUUUGUCAGCCGAAUAUUAGUACCAAAUAUUAAUUGUUGUUUUUGAGGGGAUUCUCUUGGGGAUCCAGCAACAGGGGCUUAUCCAAGGCUUUUGCAGUUGCACAUCAACCAUGGCUGAGUCAUCAGGAAAGCAGUCUGUAUGCCCUUUCUAGAAAGCACAGCUCUUGAGAAAACUAAUGGGAUGUUGAGUUUUUUCUGGACCAAGUCUCUUGUCACAAUAUCUUAUGUGUACUCUUCAUUUAUCCUUACCAAUGGGAUGGCUAUCAAGGAGAAUCAAGAAAGGUUCAGUUUCUGAAAUACAUAACACGAGAGGCUCCUGUCAUUCAUUACAUUGAAGAGCUAUUCGUCUAAAGAGAAUUCCACAUUGAUUGCCAAAGAGAUUGUUGUCAUGCUCUCUAUUAAUUGUUGGUUGAUAUUGAUGUUCUUGACAACCAAGCCAUGUACGAUUCAUUUUGGCGCCACAUGCAUUUAUUUCUUUUGAAUACGCUAAGCCUAUGAGAAUCCAGGAAAUCUUUGCGGAUCUUUCCUGUUGAAAAGGAAAGUGCAUCAUUUUGUUUGAUUAAUUUAAGAAAAGGAAAGGGCAUUCCGAUCUUCCGCCUUCACUCUAUAAUGAUUAAGGCAACAGCCAAGGAUGGCUCUCCUCAUGGAUUUACCGUGACAACUUGACAUCUAGUGCAUUGAAGCUUGAUGUGACAUUGUAAAUUGACUAAUGUUUCCAUAUAUAAUGAUUAUGCAGACUGAAAGCAUCAGUAAGGAAUUGAAAACCCAGGAUACGAGUCAUAAAGGAGGAUUUAUUUGCUCUUUUAUAUAAGUUAUCCGGAAAGCAGGAAUUUAAAUAAAUUUGAUGAUCAAGAAUGCCAAUAUUUUGAGGGAAAAGGAUAUGAGGUGUGUUUCCCAUAGUAGUAAUGACGAAGUUGCAUAUACAUGAGGGUUUACCUGCAUCCUUCAACAACUGCAUGGGUACAAGACAUCAAGUGUGAAAAAAGGUGUUCUUCCAGGAUCACAUAGCAAGAAUGCAAAGCCAAUUGUGGAGCCUAAACUCAAAAUGGGUACCCAUCUCUAUUAAUGAUCAUAUGUCCUCAAGCUUUUAUACUCGGCUGUUGCAAGUUUUGACCUCUAGACCAGAAAUGUAACCAUCUGCUCUUAUAUAUUUUGUGCUGACCAGGCGAACUAAGCCUUUUUGUUGAUUCAUUCUAGUUGUUCACAGAGCUAUAUGUUGGUCAAUGCAUAGUUGCAAAAUUUCUCAACUAA